CCUACGGGUGGCUGCAGUGAGGAAUAUUGGUCAAUGGGCGGAAGCCUGAACCAGCCAAGUCGCGUGAGGGAGUAAGGCCCUACGGGUCGUAAACCUCUUUUGCCGGGGAGCAGUGCCCAGCUCGUGAGCUGGGAGGGAGCGUACCCGGAGAAAAAGCAUCGGCUAACUCCGUGCCAGCAGCCGCGGUAAUACGGAGGAUGCGAGCGUUAUCCGGAUUUAUUGGGUUUAAAGGGGGCGUAGGCGGGCCUUCAGCCCGGCGGUAAAAUUGCGUGGGUAAACCCCGCAGAGCCGUCGGAACCGGGGGCCUUGAGUACCGGAGAGGUACGCGGAAUGCGUGGUGUAGCGGUGAAAUGCAUAGAUAUCACGCAGAACCCCGAUUGCGAAGGCAGCGUACCGGCCGGUCACUGACGCUGAGGCACGAAAGCGCGGGUAUCGAACAGGAUUAGAUACCCUAGUAGUC
rnacentral:rRNA from 1 species